rnacentral:rRNA from 1 species
UACGUAGGGUACGAGCGUUAAUCGGAAUUACUGGGCGUAAAGCGUGCGCAGGCGGUUCGUUGUGUCUGCUGUGAAAGCCCCGGGCUCAACCUGGGAAUGGCAGUGGAAACUGGCGAGCUGGAGUGUGGCAGAGGGGGGUGGAAUUCCGCGUGUAGCAGUGAAAUGCGUAGAGAUGCGGAGGAACACCGAUGGCGAAGGCAGGUCUCUGGGCCACUACUGACGCUGAGAAGCGAAAGCAUGGGGAGCGAACAGG